rnacentral:rRNA from 1 species
AGCAGCCGCGGUAAUUCCAGCUCCAAUAGCGUAUAUUAAAGUUGUUGCAGUUAAAAGCUCGUAGUUGAACUUCGGGGUUUACUCAUUGGUCAGGCUUAAUUGUCUGUACUGGUGAGAUGAAUCUCUACCUUCUGAGGAACUUUCAUGCCAUUUAUUUGGUGUGAUUGGAAAUCAGGACUGUUACUUUGAAAAAUUAGAGUGUUUAAAGCAGGCUAACGUCUGAAUACAUUAGCAUGGAAUAAUGAAAUAGGACGGACUGAUUCUAUUUCGUUGGUUUCUAGGAUCACCGUAACGAUUAAUAGGGAUAGUUGGGGGCAUUAGUAUUCAAUUGUCAGAGGUGAAAUUCUUGGAUUUAUUGAAGACUAACUACUGCGAAAAGGCAUUUUGCCAAGGAUGUUUUCAUUAAUCAAGAACGAAGUUAGGGGAUCGAAGACGAUCAGAUACCGUCGUAGUCUUAACCAUAAAACUAUGCCGACUAGGGAUCGGACGAAGUUAAUUU